rnacentral:rRNA from 1 species
CCUACGGGAGACAGCAGUGAGGAAUAUUGGGCAAUAGGCGCGAGCCUGAACCAGCCAAGUAGCGUGAAGGAUGACUGCCCUACGGGUUGUAAACUUCUUUUAUAAAGGAAUAAAGUGAGGCGCGAGUGCCUUUUUGUAUGUAGUUUAUGAAUAAGGAUCGGCUAACUCCGUGCCAGCAGCCGCGGUAAUACGGAGGAUGCGAGCGUUAUCCGGAUUUAGUGGGUUUAAAGGGAGCGUAGAUGGGUUGUUAAGUCAGUUGUGAAAGUUUGCGGCUCAACCGUAAAAUUGCAAUUGAUACUGGCAGUCUUGAGUACAGUUGAGGUAGGUGGAAUUCGUGGUGUAGCGGUGAAAUGCUUAGAUAUCACGAAGAACUCCGAUGGCGAAGGCAGCUUACUAAACUGCCACUGACAUUGAUGCUCGAAAGUGUGGGUAUCAAACAGGAUUAGAUACCCUUGUAGUC